UGCCGAAACACAAUUUAGUGUCUCUCAGAGGUGGCCUCCUGAGACUGAUGAUGGCAGGCUUUU
rnacentral:hammerhead_ribozyme from 1 species